CCUACGGGAGGCAGCAGUGGGGAAUAUUGCGCAAUGGGCGAAAGCCUGAUGCAGCGACGCCGCGUGAGGGAUGAAGGUCUUCGGAUCGUAAAGCUCUGUCAGCAGGGAAGAACGGUCCCUGUGCUAAUCAGCAUUGAAUUGACGGUACCGGCAAAGGAAGCACCGGCUAACUCCGUGCCAGCAGCCGCGGUAAUACGGAGGGUGCGAGCGUUAAUCGGAAUUACUGGGCGUAAAGCGCUCGUAGGCGGUAGGUCAAGUCAGUGGUGAAAUCCCCGCGCUCAACGUGGGAAUUGCCUUUGAUACUGGCAAACUGGAGUGUGGUAGAGGAGAGUGGAAUUCCAGGUGUAGGAGUGAAAUGCGUAGAUAUCUGGAGGAACAGCAGUGGCGAAGGCGACUAUCUGGAACAUAACUGACGCUGAGGAGCGAAAGCGUGGGUAGCAAACAGGAUUAGAUACCCUUGUAGUC
rnacentral:rRNA from 1 species